AUUGAACGCUGGCGGAAUGCUUUACACAUGCAAGUCGAACGGCAGCACGGACUUCGGUCUGGUGGCGAGUGGCGAACGGGUGAGUAAUGUAUCGGAACGUGCCCAGUCGUGGGGGAUAACGUAGUGAAAAUUACGCUAAUACCGCAUACGAGCUAUGAAUGAAAGCGGGGGAUCGCACAACCUCGCGAGAUUGGAGCGGCAGAUAUCAGAUUAGGUAGUUGGUGGGGUAAAGGCCCACCAAGCCAACGAUCGGUAGCUGGUCUGAGAGGACGACCAGCCACACUGGAACUGAGACACGGUCCAGACUCCUACGGGAGGCAGCAGUGGGGAAUUUUGGACAAUGGGCGAAAGCCUGAUCCAGCCAUUCCGCGUGCAGGAUGAAGGCCCUCGGGUUGUAAACUGCUUUUGUACAGAACGAAAAGGUUUCUACUAAUACUAGGAGCUCAUGACGGUACUGUAAGAAUAAGCACCGGCUAACUACGUGCCAGCAGCCGCCGUAA
rnacentral:rRNA from 1 species